GACGAACGCUGGCGGCGUGCUUAACACAUGCAAGUCGAACGGAAAGGCCCUGCUUUUGUGGGGUGCUCGAGUGGCGAACGGGUGAGUAAAACGUGAGUAACCUGCCCUUGACUUUGGGAUAACUUCAGGAAACUGGGGCUAAUACCGGAUAGGAGCUCCUGCUGCAUGGUGGGGGUUGGAAAGUUUCGGCGGUUGGGGAUGGACUCGCGGCUUAUCAGCUUGUUGGUGGGGUAGGGGCUUACCAAGGCUUUGACGGGUAGCCGGCCUGAGAGGGUGACCGGCCACAUUGGGACUGAGAUACGGCGCAGACUCCUACGGGAGGCAGCAGUGGGGAAUAUUGCACAAUGGGCGGACGCCUGAUGCAGCAACGCCGCGUGCGGGAUGCCGGCCUUCGGGUUGUAAACCGCUUUCGCCUGUGACGAAGCGUGAGUGACGGUAAUGGGUAAAGAAGCACCGGCUAACUACGUG
rnacentral:rRNA from 1 species